GACGAACGCUGGCGGCGUCCUUAACACAUGCAAGUCGAACGAAGUGACGAACGGGUGAGUAACGCGUAAUCAACCUGCCCUUCCGAGGGGGACAACAGUUGGAAACGACUGCUAAUACCGCAUACUGCAGUAGGGGCUUGCGUCUGAUUCGCUAGUUGGAGGGGUAACGGCCCCCCAAGGCGAUGAUCAGUAGCCGGUCUGAGAGGAUGAACGGCCAAAUUGGGACUGAGACACGGCGGAGAGUCCUACGGGAGGCAGCAGUGGGGAAGCUGCCGCAAUGGACGAAAGUCUGUCGGAGCAACGCCGCGUGAGUGAUGACGGCCUUCGGGUGGUAAAGCUCUGUUAAUCGGGACGCGGUACCGGAAUAGAAAGCCACGGCUAACUAGGUGCCAGCAGCCGCGGUAAGUC
rnacentral:rRNA from 1 species